GACGAACGCUGGCGGCGUGCUUAACACAUGCAAGUCGAACGGAAAGGCCUGCUUUCCCUUGUGGAUUGCGGGUACUCGAGUGGCGAACGGGUGAGUAACACGUGAGUGAUCUGCCCCCAACUUGGGUAUAAGCCUGGGAAACUGGGUCUAAUUCCCGAUAGGACUGCAGGGUGGUGCCUGUGGUGGAAAACGAUUUUCUAGUGGUUGGGGAUGAGCUCGCGGCCUAUCAGCUUGUUGGUGGGGUAAUGGCCUACCAAGGCGGCGACGGGUAGCCGGCCUGGGAGGGUGGACGGUCACAUUGGGACUGAGAUACGGCCCAGACUCCUACGGGAGGCAGCAGAGGGGAAUAUUGGGCAAUGGGCGGAAGCCUGAUGCAGCGACGCCGCGUGGGGGAUGACGGCCUUCGGGUUGUAAACUCCUUGCGACCGCGAGGAAGCCACCUGGUUGGAAGGGUGGUGACGGUAGUGGUAGAAGAAGCACCGGCUAACUACGUG
rnacentral:rRNA from 1 species